GAUUAAUUAUACCUUAUCUUGGCUCGAAUCGGCUGGUGUUGAAGAGGUGUUUGUAUUUUGCUGUGCUAACUCGAAGCAAGUAAUUGAUUAUUUGGAGAACUCUGAGUGGGUAUCCCUACCAGACUUUGCAGUCACAACUAUAGAGUCGCACAACUCCAUUAGUGCUGGAGAUGCCUUGCGUUUGAUCUACGAAAGAAAUGUGAUACAUGGUGAUUUUGUACUUAUCACUGGAGACACCAUAAGCAACAUGUCACUUACGCAAGCUCUUCAAGAACACAAAGAGAGAAAGAAGAAAGAUAGUAAUGCCGUAAUGACUAUGGUUGUCAAACGGUCAAAGCCUUCUCCUAUCACUCACCAAUCUCGGCUUGGCACCGACGAACUAUUUAUGGCAAUUGAUCACAAUACUAAGCAACUCUUGUACUAUGAGGAUAAGGUUGAC
rnacentral:misc_RNA from 1 species